rnacentral:lncRNA from 1 species
CAGGCGCUUCCAAAGUGGAUGGUUCCAGCUCAUGGUUGACAGUCUUGGUCUCAGGGCUGGUGAUGGGAGAUCCAUCUGGUGGAGGCGAGGGGCUUUUAUUUGCUUUCGCUGGGGUGCUGUCACUGCUCAUCUUUUUCCUCAGCCUGGCGAACAGUUUAGUUUUCUUUCUGGGCUGUGCUUUAAUGGGAAAGGCAUUGCCUGAGUACUGCUUGUCUAGACCCAGCAGGACGUCAUGG